CGCAGAGGAAACAAUCCAGCGUAGGAACCAUGAGGAUGUGGGUUCGAUCCCUGGCCUCACUCAGUGGGUUGGGGAUCCUGUGUUGUCAUGAGAUGUGGUGUAGGUUACAGACGUGGCUUGGAUCUGGCGUGGCUGUGGCUGUGGUGUAGGCUGGCAGCUGUAGCUCCAGUUGGACCCCUAGCCUGGGAACCUCCAUAUGCCAUGACUGUGGCCCUAAAAAGUAGGGGGGGGAGAAGAAAAAGAAAUACAAAAUUUUCUUCUAAAGCAAGUAAAAAUCAAAUGAUGGUUUUAAUUACAACCUUCUUGAGAUACAAUUCAUAACCAUACAAUUUACCCAUUCAAAGUAUACAAUUUAAUGCUCUGCUGGUUUUUUAACAGAUAUGUGCAAUUUCUGAAUAUAUUCAUCACUCCAAACCCUUUAGCCAUAGCUCCCAAAUUCCAGCAUCCCCUUCCCCAGCCCUAACCAACCACUACUCCACCUUCUGUCUUCAUAGGUUUGCCUGGUUUAGACUUUUCAUAUAGAUGGAAUCAUUCAACCGAGGCUGUGACUGACUUCCUUCACUUAGCAUAUUUUCAGAAUUAAUCUCAGCUGCAUCAUGAAUCCGUGUUUCUUUCCUUUGAUGGCUGAACACUUCUCAUGCUGCAGGAAUACACAGCAUUCAUCAGCUGGUGGACAUCUAUGCUGUUUCUGCCUUUUAGCUAUUCUGAGUAAUGCCGUUAAUAAACACUCAUGCACAAGUUUUUGUGUGAACAAAUACUUUCAUUUUUCUGGAGGGUAUACCUAGGGCUGGAAUUUCUGGGUCAUGUGGUCAUCCUAUGUUUAAACUUCUUAAGAAACUGUCAGAAAACUGGAAAAACGAUUUUCCAAAGCGGCUGCACCAAUUCACACCCUCACCAGCAGAGUAUGGACGUUCCAAUCUCUCUACAUCCUCACCCACACUUGUUAUUAUCUGCCUUUUCAAUCCCAGUGAGUGUGAAGCGGUUUUAAUUUUUUGUGGUUUCAACUUUGCCCAGUUACUACAGAUGCUGAGCACUUCUGUCCGAUUUGACUGGGCACCGGCACUUCUUUGUAGAAAUAUUCUGAGUGUUUGCCCAUGUUCAAAUUGGAUUGUCUUUUUAUUCUUGAAUUGUAAGAGUUUUUUUUUAAUAUAUUUUAGGUACGACCUUAAAAGAUAUAUAAAAUCAGAUGAUUAACACUCACAUUUUAAAGACGAGAAACAACGUAUUCAGGUACUAGAUUAAAAUUACUGCACUGUUUUCUGCAAAAAAACACAUUUUUGUUUUCAUAUAGUAAUCAUUAAAUGUUUUAAACCCAGUUUUUUUUCCUUAACUCUCAUUAAAGUCACCCUCCACUCUGGUCGGUAAAAGACUUCGUACAGAGAUGUGUAUGUCCCUGCCUCUACAGAGAGCGUCUGAUUGCCUCAGUAAGACCAUGGCAGCUUUUAUAAAUCAUGUUUUACAAAUUCAUGUACUAGAAUUACAUCCCAAAAUAAGCCUUGGAAGGCAUCUGGCUACAUGCUGUAACCAUUAAAAUGAUGUUCUGAGCCACAGAAAAAAUGUGUGAGAGACACUCUCUACAUGAAGUAUGACGAGAUAGUUCAAAUCUCAUAUGAGUGGCCAGUAAGUUGCUUCCAAAGAAUAAAUACCACAACUGCAGGAGCUGCGGGAACCCUGGCUCACAAACACAAGCCACUUUCAUGUUCGGCUGUGGCCUCAGCUGUGUGCUCAACGGUACAAUGCAAUUCACUGGUCACCUUGCUGUGUAACACCCAAAGAUUUCAUUUCCAAGAACACACCCGGGCAGGAAAAGGUGUUUGCAGACUGCAGAACUCAGAAAGCAGGACUCUUUACGUGGAGUGGGUUCGAAGGCAAACACAAGUUCCCCACUACUCCUCGGGCCCUUCAUCUUCCUCUCUGACAAUCGAGCCGGGAGCCUUGCUCCAACCUUACCUUGAAAUUCCCUUUCCUGGCACAAGGAAGGCUGAAGUGCGUCUGAAGCAGUUGAAUUCUGCUCCACUGGGCUGAGCCACAAGCCCUGCAUGCAAGGACCUGGGAAACAUUAGCUUGCUUCUGGUCUGGCCAUAAUGAAAAUAAAUGAGGGCUUCAAUUUAAAGUCGUUACUAAAAAUUUGUUCUUUCCUCCAUUCUAAUUCUGAAACCCACUUGCAGCUAAUUAGAACGGUUCCCAGCUUGAUCUCCCAGCACACUGCUAGUGUAAACACCAACCAUCUGAGUUUCAUUACAAUAAAGAAAUCAAAUAAACAGUGGACCAGAAAACAGUAGUUUGGGCACGGCUCAUUACAGCACAACGCAGUUAACAUUCCUCACUCAGGAAGCAAAGGGAGGCAUCAGGGAGCGAGGCCGAUGCCCAGUGCUUUCCGUUCUCGGUAACGAUGUUAGUGGAACUCAGCAUUAUUUCUUACUGUGAACAUUUUCUGGAAAAGUCAGGAGGGAUUUUUUUAAUGAAAAUAAAGAAGUGCGCUCUGAACCUCGUUGUAAACAAAGCGAAAAGGUAAUUAUUUGCUUUGGACUACUCACUGCUUCUCCCCUUCCUCAUAGGAUAGACUGUUUACCAUUUAAACAAGGAAAAAGAAAAAGAAAGAAAGAGGAAGAGAAUGGCCAUUAAUCUGCUUAAAAUUUUUAUUAUGUGUCCUAGGUACAAACGAAUCUCUGCCAACACAGGCUUGACAGGACUAUACGAUUCCUAAUACCCAGAAUGUUAAAAAUCAAAUAAACAAGCAUAUAACUAAGAAAAGAGUCACUCAUGUAUUUAGGUAUUUCACUCAUCUCAUUCCCAUUGACCAAUAUUUGGAAAAUUCACAUAAGUAAAUACUCAUUUUAAAGGUUCAACUGCAUUGUUUAGAGUGACCUUGGAAUCAAUAAAAGGAAAAAAAAAUCCAAACAUUUCUGUCUCUAAAAUUUAAUCCCACUCUUAAGUAAAGUCUAAAGACAUUGAUUAUCCUUUAUAAAGAAUUGUGGUUUGUAAACUCAACAAUAGUACGAAUUCUCUGAUUACAGAACGUUCUUUGAAGAAAACAUCAACAAACCCCAGUGCCUCCUGAGAUACAACUUGUAUGUCUACGACGAUCAGAAUCCACAAUUGGCCCCUGAUGAGGCCAUGACUUCACUGCACGCGGUAGACGUUUUGUGGCCCUUAAUGGUAAUGCAGCUUCAGUGAGACGAGUGAAAAAACCCCCUUCCUUCCUCUCUGGUACAGUCUAGGUCUAGCUGUGUAAGUAUCCGACGCCUGGUAUUUACAAUUUUUUUUUUUUCAUUUAAAUGAGUACAGAAAGACUACGACACUUGUGGGAACGUAUCUGCUCAGAAGGUUCUAGAGGCUUUCGGCCAAGAUUAAAAUACUUCUAAAAUACUCUUUAAAAUAGCCUACUUAGGCCUCUCUAAAAACCUGUUGCAUAAAAGGAUUCAAACCAAGACCCUAAACCACAUGAAUUAUUAAUUUAAGAAAAGUCACACAAAAAAAUGCAAGUAGUAUUGAAGUGGACCAUGUUAGAAAAAAAGAGAGAGCGUGACAGAGAGAGCGAGCUCAAUCAAUGGAACGAAGUAAGAGCUAAAAUGCCUGCUUUAACCUUGAGAUUCAUUUUUAAUCUGUGGAAGGAAACAAUCACUCAUGGGGGGGGGACAAAAAAAGAAACAGAGAGGCAUUUGUCUGCAGCAGUUGUCUCAGUAAGGAACACAUAGAAAAUAAUCUGCCACUGUUUUGGAAUUGUCUAUCAUCUACAUGUUGAAAGAAAAUUAAAGUCAAGGGAACUAAAAGGACAUGUCCAGAGAAAUCAAAACUAAAGACAGCAAUUUUAAAAAAUGUGCACAGUCAUUUCACAUUCUUUGAUAAUUUUCUUAACCUGCUUCACCUCAAAACAAUCUACUUAGGUCCAGAAGACAUACGCUUUCUUCAACUUGAAUACCAAUUACCUGUUCAACAUCUGUCUGCUAGAUGCCAAUUCUAUGCACUGACGUCUCCAGUGGAAUGUGAGUGUGCGCUCUCAUAUCCAUCCCUGUGGGAUGAGAGACUUCGACUGGGUCACUGGGGGAAGGGGGUUGUGACCAGCACUUCGGAGUUUACAGCAGUUCCCUCCACGACAGGCAGUGCACACGCCUUAAGCUCUGAAAGGCAGCCAGGGUCCUUGGGGCAGCCAAGACGUGCUGUUCGAGCAUCAGAACGGACCAGCCUGCUCCAAAGCUGUGAGGUUAAGGCUGAAACGUUCUACGGGGCUGAAUGGGGAAACCACGAUUCCUUCACGUGCCCUUCGCAUCCACGUUCUCUCAAGACUGGAAUACUGCCGAAAAAUAAUCUGAACGCCAAGAGGAUGACAAUCACUAUCCCAUUUUGUUUUACUUGAUAUUAGACGGUAUUUUUCCUUUCAAGGCACUUUUAUUAUUAAUUUCUCAUACAGCAUGACUUAACCCAAGUGGAGCUCUUAAAACUGUGAUGACUAUUAAACCAAGAAAAUUGGAAUGAAUUGCUCCAAUAACGUUAUCAUUCCCUUACCAACAGCCUACAGUGUGCGAGGCCUUUAAGUGCUUUAUUUUAUUGCAUCUUUAUAACAUGCUCGGGGGUCCACACCUCAAGAUGUGGAUUUGCCUGCUCAGUUUCUCAGCUGGGAAGUGGAGGAGCCAGGAUUUGAAACCAGGUUUGUCUUUAUUCCAAAACCCAUGUUUUUUCUUUUUACCUUGUGCGUAUUUAUUGUAUGUAUAUCUACUUUGACAUAAACUAUGUUUUGGAAAAUAAAUCCACUGAAUACAUUCUAGAAAAUAAAUAUACUUAGGGAAAAACUGUAUGACGCAAAGAACAGACCGUUCUGAGGUAUAGUGACCUCGUUAGACCACGCCCAUUCUACGGUUAAAGUCUGAUGUUCUAACAAAUAAAACAGACAAGCAACUAUGUUCAAUCCCAGCGAACGAAACCACUGACCUCCAUAGGUAGAAGAAAUUAGCUCUAAGUCUUAGAUUGCUCUUCCUGUCACCUGGUACGCUUGCAGAACGUGCAUCCCAUCAAUGGUGGGUUACCCAGAAUCCGAAAUCAUCUCAGCAAGCAAAGCCUGGCAUAAACCUUUUAUAGGGAAAACAAAGGGAAUGAAGAACUGAUUGCCACAUCAUUCUCUGCUUGGGAUUGCACAUGCUAUUUUUCAGACCAUCAUGAAGAAAAAAUGAAAAUGAGAUAGCUCACUAAGAUAAAAUGAGCAUGGAAAAGGAACUAGGAAGCCUGUUUUGUAUCUGUGCUCUUCCACUAAGCUGGAGUGGAAUAAGCCGUUUAUACCUUCUGCUACUUUAUAUCUGCAAAAAAAAAAAAAAAAAAAAAAA
ensembl:lncRNA